AGGUCAUUGAGAAGAUGGGACUUCUUACCUAUGCCAGUCUCUGCCUUUUCGGCCUUCUGCUCUUCAGUCCUCUUCCUGGUGCUGAGGCUGAUUCCUGUGCCAGAGACUGGAUGCAAAACCAAGGGAACUGUUAUGCGUAUUUUGACUACAAGUUGACAUGGGCAGAAGCUGAGGUAGGAAACAUUUCACACAAGUUAGAGUGUAAGCUCUGUUACCUUCACCUCGUGAUUCAAAAGGAAUCCAGUAAUUCAGAUGGUUAACGUCUUUAAGGGUAGGGCAGGGGAUAUCCAACUUCAUAGAAAGAAGUGAAGUCAAAGAGCUCUGGCAGUGCCCUUAUCUCCAUGUGGGAAGAAUUGUGUGAAUAACAUUCAUUCCCCAUCCCUUCUCCACCCGCAGAUAGACUGCCAGAGCUAUGGCCGCGGGGCCCAUCUUGCCUCUGUUCUCAGCCAGGCAGAGUCAUCUCUCAUUGCCAACUACAUUUCAACUUACCAAAAAGAUAAAAGCAAUGUCUGGAUUGGACUCAAUGAUCCCCGCCAGGUGAGCUUCUACCUUACUUUGUUUUGCUCAGAUGUUCUCAUCACUAAUUUGUUGACACUUUAAUGAUUCCAUUCAAGACACAACUCAAAAAGACUUCCCGUUGAACUGUUCAUAUUCUCUUGGAAUCUUUCCUUCUCUGUACAUUUCCUUUUUUAAGCCCCUAAGAGGGAGAAUAGAUCUAUAAAUUUUACCUUUGCCAAAUUUCCUCACUUCUCUAGCUGCAAACUCUGUCUUCUAUUUCUACAGAAUCACAGAUGGAGAUGGUCUGAUGAAUCAGCCUACAAUUACAGGGCCUGGGCCAAGAACGAGCCAAGCAACAGUGGUAAUAAUGAAUACUGUGUGGAGUUGCUUCUAAUCACAGGUAAGUGAAUGCUUUCUUGAGGUUUAAUACAAAGGUUCCCUCAUGACAUAAUUUCUGGCCUGGAUCUAGAUCAGCAAUGGUCAAGCUUUCAUCCUACAGGUUCAUUAGACCUCAACUUGACCAUUAUCUAAGGUAGCUGGGGCUGGUGGCAAGUGAAGAUGAAAACGCCUGCAGCACCAGCCUUAGAGGACCUAGAAGAUGGAUUUCUUAUAAUAGUAGUUCUAGAUUCUACAUGAUCUCUAGCCAAUGGCUCCACCCAUUUUCUUUUAAUUUGGAGGCAAUUUUCAGGUACUUUUUGUCCCCAAAUAGGCUAAGACUGCCUAAGAACCCUACUAAAGCCCACAAAUCCCUCCAAAACCAAUGAAAAUGGGGGAAGUCUG
rnacentral:lncRNA from 1 species